rnacentral:tRNA from 1 species
GGGGACAUAGCUUAGUUGGUAGAGCUCCGCUCUUACGAGAUAGAUGUAAGCGGUUUGAGUCCGCUUAUCUCCA